AAGACUAUACUUUUGGGAUUGUUUCAAUAGUCCUUGACUAGAGAAAUUUCUCUGAUGGUAUAGAGCACCCAGAAGGUAGAAAGCCACCCUAGUGCUUUUAAUGACUUC
rnacentral:snoRNA from 1 species